CAACCUCCAGUUUUGAAUACACAAUGAGGCAAAGAUCAGGAUUUUUAUCAAAACAUUCGGCAAACCGUUUUUUCACGUAAAUUAGGAAUGGGUUUUUAUGUUUGUCAAAAGGCACAGUAACCUUUUCAGUUUUAUUAUCAGCAUAGACUUCACUGACUUUUCGGAUAAUGUACAUUAAAUCGUUUUCACUAAGAACAGCACCUGCGCUGGAAGGCAAACACUUGUGAAAUAAUUGAUUUUCUGCAAAACUUGAGAGAAAUGCUUCGUUUGAAGCAGAUUUCGAGUAUUUAUGUAAUUCAUCAGAAGACGCUUGUCGAGGCCUGCACCCAGUUACCUUUUCAUGAUGAACGCU